GUGGGGAAUAUUGGACAAUGGGGGGAACCCUGAUCCAGCCAUGCCGCGUGUGUGAAGAAGGCCUUUUGGUUGUAAAGCACUUUAAGCGAGGAGGAGGCUACCGAGAUUAAUACUCUUGGAUAGUGGACGUUACUCGCAGAAUAAGCACCGGCUAACUCUGUGCCAGCAGCCGCGGUAAUACAGAGGGUGCGAGCGUUAAUCGGAUUUACUGGGCGUAAAGCGUGCGUAGGCGGCUUUUUAAGUCGGAUGUGAAAUCCCCGAGCUUAACUUGGGAAUUGCAUUCGAUACUGGGAAGCUAGAGUAUGGGAGAGGAUGGUAGAAUUCCAGGUGUAGCGAUGAAAUGCGUAGAGAUCUGGAGGAAUACCGAUGGCGAAGGCAGCCAUCUGGCCUAAUACUGACGCUGAGGUACGAAAGCAUGGGGAGCAAACAGGAUUAGAAACCCGUGUAGUCC
rnacentral:rRNA from 1 species